AAACAGAACACCCAAACCACAGAUUCCUAGAUUCUAGAUUCUACUGCCUGUGGAGACAGAGUCUAUAAUGGAUUGGCUGACCACGAUCCAGAGUCAGUAAUGAGGCUGGCACCCUUGACCCUACGACUAAGUCAUCAGAGCACCAGGUUUCAGGCCCAGUGCCUACAGGUAUAGAAGAGAAGAGAAAGCAAGCAAGGCAUAUCUGUGCACCACACACAUGCCUGAUGCCCACGGAAGUUACAAGAUGACAUGGAUCUUUUGGAAGUGGAGUUACAGACAGUUGUGAACUGCCAUGCUGACUUCCAACUUACUUUGUAUCAGAGGAUGACACUGGAUUUCCGCAGCUCCUGCCUCCGCCCUUGAAUACUGGGAUGCUAGGCAUGUACCACCUUGUCCAGUUUUUGACAGCAGUUUUGACGUGCCGGGGAUCAAGCCUAGUGCUUCUCAAACACAGGGCAAACACUGCCAACUGAGCCUGGAGCCCCAUCUUCAACACCUUCCUACUAGCUACUAGGUUUUAAUGCCUGGACUCUGAAGAGAAGGCAGUCAAAUAGUAGCAAUUGCUAAGUCUUUCUCCUGUCUUACAUCCUGGUAGUAGAAACCCAAACUUGUGUAAACACAAGGGAGUUUUGCUUGGGGCUAGAGUUGACACUUCCAUGUGCCUGGUCCUUUGCUUGUCACUCAGGGAGCUGGGUGUGGUGCACUCAAACCCACUCUGUCCAAGCUGGCCUUGACCUCCUACGGCGGGCUUAUUCACUACAUACCUUUGCCCCCAUUAACCACAAGAUCCUCAACUUCCCAAGAGUAAAACAGAAGCUCGAUCUUGCUGACCUCUGGGGAUUGGCCUCCGGCUUUACAGAUCUCCAGCUAAUUCCACAGACUGAGAAGAAAGCCCCCCCUCUCCCCGUUGUCUGUGUUGAGGUAGGGCAAGGAAGCAUGGUCCUCCCAGAUGAGGAGGAGCUCAGGGAAACAGGGACAAGUUCUUGGGUCUCACAACCAGGUCCUCCUGGUCCCAAUGGCACAGGAGAGUAAACAAAAAGACUGGCUUCAAGGUCAAGUUUUGGGGUGGAAGCUGGGUAGGUGCACAG
rnacentral:sRNA from 1 species